UAUUUUCUUCUUCUUAGAAUACAGAUACCAUCUAAGUUAGUGUUCUCUUUAACAGCUUAGGGCCAUCAUCAGCGUCUGCUGUGCCUGUUGCAGAGUACAUUCCAGCCCAGGAUGAAGCCAGGCUCCUUGUUAUGGAUAUUAAACUAGAUGUACUCUGCUAUGCUUCUAAGAAGCUCCCCUUGAGGCAUGCAGUUUCAAGAUUAAUCAUCCCUCGUUUAGCUGAUCAGUUAAAUGCAUUGCAGAAUUCAAUGUUGCCUAACCUUUUAGGACAACACCCUCAGAUAAAACCUUAUCACUUCACUCUUCCUCAUGUUCUGCAUCCAAUUACUGUUUUCUAUGAACUGAGUUUCGGGGAGACAGAAAUGAAGCAAGGUAUGCUUCUGUAAUCUGACAUGGAUAGGAUAAUUCUUUUAACAUUUACCUGUCUCUUUUA